rnacentral:rRNA from 17 species
GAAUUUGAUCUUGGUUCAGAUUGAACGCUGGCGGCGUGGAUGAGGCAUGCAAGUCGAACGGAAUAAUGACUUCGGUUGUUAUUUAGUGGCGGAAGGGUUAGUAAUACAUAGAUAAUCUGUCCUCAACUUGGGAAUAACGGUUGGAAACGACCGCUAAUACCGAAUGUGGUAUGUUUAGGCAUCUAAAACAUAUUAAAGAAGGGGAUCUUCGGACCUUUCGGUUGAGGGAGAGUCUAUGGGAUAUCAGCUUGUUGGUGGGGUAAUGGCCUACCAAGGCUUUGACGUCUAGGCGGAUUGAGAGAUUGACCGCCAACACUGGGACUGAGACACUGCCCAGACUUCUACGGAAGGCUGCAGUCGAGAAUCUUUCGCAAUGGACGAAAGUCUGACGAAGCGACGCCGCGUGUGUGAUGAAGGCUCUAGGGUUGUAAAGCACUUUCGCUUGGGAAUAAGAGAGAUUGGCUAAUAUCCAAUCGAUUUGAGCGUACCAGGUAAAGAAGCACCGGCUAACUCCGUGCCAGCAGCUGCGGUAAUACGGAGGGUGCUAGCGUUAAUCGGAUUUAUUGGGCGUAAAGGGCGUGUAGGCGGAAAGGAAAGUUAGAUGUUAAAUCUUGGGGCUCAACCCCAAGCCAGCAUCUAAUACUAUCUUUCUAGAGGGUAGAUGGAGAAAAGGGAAUUCCACGUGUAGCGGUGAAAUGCGUAGAUAUGUGGAAGAACACCAGUGGCGAAGGCGCUUUUCUAAUUUACACCUGACGCUAAGGCGCGAAAGCAAGGGGAGCAAACAGGAUUAGAUACCCUGGUAGUCCUUGCCGUAAACGAUGCAUACUUGAUGUGGAUAGUCUCAACCCUAUCCGUGUCGUAGCUAACGCGUUAAGUAUGCCGCCUGAGGAGUACACUCGCAAGGGUGAAACUCAAAAGAAUUGACGGGGGCCCGCACAAGCAGUGGAGCAUGUGGUUUAAUUCGAUGCAACGCGAAGAACCUUACCUGGGCUUGACAUGUAUUUGACCGCGGCAGAAAUGUCGUUUUCCGCAAGGACAGAUACACAGGUGCUGCAUGGCUGUCGUCAGCUCGUGCCGUGAGGUGUUGGGUUAAGUCCCGCAACGAGCGCAACCCUUAUCGUUAGUUGCCAACACUUAGGGUGGGAACUCUAACGAGACUGCCUGGGUUAACCAGGAGGAAGGCGAGGAUGACGUCAAGUCAGCAUGGCCCUUAUGCCCAGGGCUACACACGUGCUACAAUGGCCAGUACAGAAGGUAGCAAUAUCGUGAGAUGGAGCAAAUCCUCAAAGCUGGCCCCAGUUCGGAUUGUAGUCUGCAACUCGACUACAUGAAGUCGGAAUUGCUAGUAAUGGCGUGUCAGCUAUAACGCCGUGAAUACGUUCCCGGGCCUUGUACACACCGCCCGUCACAUCAUGGGAGUUGGUUUUGCCUUAAGUCGUUGACUCAACCUGCAAAGGAGAGAGGCGCCCAAGGUGAGGCUGAUGACUGGGAUGAAGUCGUAACAAGGUAGCCCUACCGGAAGGUGGGGCUGGAUCACC